UAACUUGGCUCUUUUAGACUGAAAUUAAUUAGGGUGCUUGCCAACCUUCACCCCUUAGGCCAGCUGCUUAUGGGCUCCAUGUGUGUUCACAUCCUGAAGCACAGUUGAAGAGCCUGUUUGUCUCUCAUGUGCACUGGCAGAUGGGGGAGCCUGCUUUGGGAAUGAGCUCAUCAAAAGCCAUGGAUCUGGAAGCCAGACUUCCAUUAAUUGUGCCUGAGGACACUACGUGGGCUGUGAAGCAGUAUGGAGAGUUUUGAACCUUUUUCCAAUACGAUUCUUAAAAACACCCACCUUGUUGAGCUGGUGGUGGUAAUGGUUAUGCUCUCAAAGUGAAAGAGACAUUCAGGAUUAUCUUAAAA